rnacentral:sRNA from 1 species
CUUCUCCCCGAGCUGCUGUUUUGGAUUAAUGGGUUCUAGCUCUUUUAACAGCGAUAAGAAGGCAUGCAGAUUCUUGAAUCGCACUGGAUGUAGAAGCUCCUGUAACUCACAUGAGCAUGUAGUGAAAGAUUUGAUCUCUGCUUGGAAAAAUUAAUACAGCGUGUUUGUAGCCUGUAAAUCUUAGGGAUACUGCUGAGCCUCUGUAAAUUAUAUGGCAUUGUACCAUUUAUUGUCGGUACCCACAUUCAGAAUCAAGACUGGGUCUGGUUUUGAGCAACAGAGCAGUCACACAGAGCAGAAAUCAGUUUUCUUAGAAGAUGUUUGUCAGGUUCACCAUUUACACAUGUAAUCUGGAGCAUGUUGGAGUAUAUCAUGUUCAGGUGCCUUUUAAGUUAACAUAAUGUAGUCUAUGCACUUACCUCUGGUAAGAAAUGUCACUUGGAUCAAUGUUUCUGUAUGCAAACCAAUGUAAAAUUUGAUAGUGAUGGAUUCAGUAAGAACUCUGAUGUCAAACACAACCAGAUACAGUUUUGAUUUGCCGUAAUGUUUAUAUUGACAAUAUUGAUCUC